GGGGAGCCGCCCACAGCCAUCGUGCCAGGGCUGUCCCCACCCCUAGGGGAGCUGCUAUCUGCAGUAACACCACGCCGAACAGAGCUGCCUGGUGUCACCCUUGGAGCUGAGACAACAUCAGAUAAGACGCCAAACGUGAUAGGCUGCAGGUGAGAUCUUGGACCAGAAGUGAUGAGACACUGCGACAGGAGGAAGGAUCUGAAGAAGAGGAUUUGACAGUCUCCAGGACUAGCCUAAUGGCUUUCCUAGGGGAUUUGCAUUAUCCUCUAUCUUCCCCCAAAAUGAGUUACAUUAUUUGGAGCCUCAACAGGUAAGAGAAUUAGCAGCAUAUCCUAUAUAAAAUGUGGAUAAUUUUAUGCUAACAUAUCUCUUGGUCAUUCUAGCUUAAAAUAGAAAUAUAUUAACAUCAAG